CACGUAGGGUGCGAGCGUUGUCCGGAAUUAUUGGGCGUAAAGAGCUCGUAGGCGGUGUGUCGCGUCGGCCGUGAAAACCUGCAGCUUAACUGUGGGCUUGCGGUCGAUACGGGCAUCACUGGAGUUCGGCAGGGGAGACUGGAAUUCCUGGUGUAGCGGUGAAAUGCGCAGAUAUCAGGAGGAACACCCGUGGCUAAGGCGGCUCUCUAGUACGGUACUGACGCUGAGGUGCGAAAGCGUGGGGAGCAAACAGG
rnacentral:rRNA from 1 species